GAAUCACAAAAUGUACAAAAUGGUAAAGACCUCUCUUUAAAAAAAAUCACCAACCAUUUCUAGUCUUUGAGCCAACAACCCCCACUUUCAUUUGAUGUUUUGCAACCCCAAGUAUGGCAAUUCAUAAAUUUGAAGGGUGUUAUAUGCAUUAAUUUGGGACCACUCAAUCCAUUAAUCACAUGACAUGUUUUCCACCGUCUCCAUUAGAUAGAUACAGUUUUAGACUCGAACUAUAUAUGAUUUGGAAAAAAGAAUAAUACUAUCUUACAUCUUCGAUUCAAUGGAAAAAACCAAAUCUUUGACUCGCUAUAUCGCAUCGUACUUGAGCAAAACCGAUGCGAGAUUUUUCAAGAUCAUACUCCACCCAUACAUUUUGUUGAUGAUGGUGUCCUAUAAUGUACGCCUCAACGGCUAGUAGAUCGGAAUUUCCAAAAGUAAAACAAUGUAUCGAAUCUUUCCCUCGAAUUUCACCAGGUACUCGAUACAACAAUCG
rnacentral:misc_RNA from 1 species